rnacentral:rRNA from 1 species
CCCUUAGAUGUCCUGGGCCGCACGCGCGUUACACUGGUGCAUUCAACGAGCUUAUAACCUUGGCCGAGAGGCCUGGGCAAUCUUGUUAACGUGCAUCGUGAUAGGGAUAGAUUAUUGAAAUUAUUAAUCUUGAACGAGGAAUUCCUAGUAAACGCAGAUCAUCAAUCUGCAUUGAUUACGUCCCUGCCCUUUGUACACACCGCCCGUCGCACCUACCGAUUGGAUGGUCCGGUGAAGCCUCGGGAUUGUGGUUCUUGCCGCUUUGUUGUGGCGUGACCGCGAGAACUUGUCUAAACCUUAUCAUCUAGAGGAAGGUGAAGUCGUAACA